GAUAUUCUCAUCUCGGCCGUUUGGGCUUGGGCCGUGACCACUGUAAUUUCUCGCGUCGCUCUCGGGAGGCAUUACGUUAUCGAUGUCUUCUUUGGCGCGUGCUUCGGAGUCCUCGAAGCGUUCUUCACCUUCCGCCUUCUCGAAUUCCGAGGGUUGCUUUGAGUGAUUAUGUUCGAUGACUGUAACCGAAUUAUGGAGAAAAGUUUUAUACGUGGCUUCUCCAGAAGAUUCAAAAUUCUAGUAUGAGAGUGAUUGAAGGACGCUAUAUCUGCUAUGUUUGGUUUCCCGUUCAGCUGCUUUGAAUGGAAGUUUUUGUUGCCAAACUUAGUUUGGUAAUAUGUUUGCUU